GAUGAACGCUAGCUACAGGCUUAACACAUGCAAGUCGAGCGACCGGCGCUCGGGUGAGUAACACGUAUCCAACCUGCCCCUUACUCGGGGAUAGCCUUACGAAUGAGAGAUUAAUACUCUAUGUUAAGGAUGGGGAUGCGUUCCAUUAGGUUGUUGGUGAGGUAACGGCUCACCAAUCCUUCGAUGGAGAGGGGUUCGGAGAGGAAGGUCCACUACAUUGGAACGGAGACACGGUCCAAACGCGUACGGGAGGCAGCAGUGAGGAAUAUUGGUCAAUGGGCGUUAGCCUGAAACAGCCAAGUAGCGUGAAGGAUGAAGGCUUAUGGGUCGUAAACUUCUUUUAUAUAAGAAUAUGUAUUAUAUGAAUAAGGAUCGGCUAACUCCGUGCCAGCAGCCGCGGUAAUUC
rnacentral:rRNA from 1 species